rnacentral:rRNA from 1 species
GGGAUAACACUUGGAAACAGGUGCUAAUACCGCAUAACCAUAGUUACCGCAUGGUAACUAUGUAAAAGGUGGCUAUGCUACCGCUUUUGGAUGGGCCCGCGGCGCAUUAGCUAGUUGGUGGGGUAAAGGCUUACCAAGGCAAUGAUGCGUAGCCGAACUGAGAGGUUGAUCGGCCACAUUGGGACUGAGACACGGCCCAAACUCCUACGGGAGGCAGCAGUAGGGAAUCUUCCACAAUGGGCGAAAGCCUGAUGGAGCAACGCCGCGUGGGUGAAGAAGGUCUUCGGAUCGUAAAACCCUGUUGUUAGAGAAGAAAGUGCGUGAGAGUAACUGUUCACGUUUCGACGGUAUCUAACCAGAAAGCCACGGCUAACUACGUGCCAGCAGCCGCGGUAAUACGUAGGUGGCAAGCGUUAUCCGGAUUUAUUGGGCGAAAAGGGAACGCAGGCGGUCUUUUAAGUCUGAUGUGAAAGCCUUCGGCUUAACCGGAGUAGUGCAUUGGAAACUGGGAGACUUGAGUGCAGAAGAGGAGAGUGGAACUCCAUGUGUAGCGGUGAAAUGCGUAGAUAUAUGGAAGAACACCAGUGGCGAAAGCGGCUCUCUGGUCUGUAACUGACGCUGAGGUUCGAAAGCGUGGGUAGCAAACAGGAUUAGAUACCCUGGUAGUCCACGCCGUAAAC